rnacentral:lncRNA from 10 species
AGACGAGGCCAGACGGGGAAAGGGCUCAGAGAGGUAAAGGGCUCGGAGUCGCUGGGGGGAGGGGUUCCCACUGGAGGUAACUGAGAGGUGCAGGGGGGCUCGGAGAAUACCGGCUGCAGGGAACGAAGCCGAAGGUUCUGAACGGUCAAGCGAAAAGGCCAGGUGCAGGGAGGCGAAAGGAGGCCAGAGGUGAGGCCCGGGGCGCGGAGCUGCCCAGGGCGCGGCGCAGGCGGAGGACGAACUGCUGAGGGAGGGACCUGCCAACCGCAGCCAGGAGGUGGCGGGGGCAACUGCAGAUCCCCGGAAAAGCAGCUCCUGAGCCAACACAACUUUCAGUGCAAACAGCAGGAGAAAUCCUGCGAGCCCCCCCUUCUCCGGGCCGGAGCCCGGGUGCACGCUCGUCCCAAACCCGCCGCGCUGCCCACCUUCCGGAGAGGAACCCCGCGCGCGGCAGAGCCGGACGCCAGGGGCUGGACGCCCAACCACCUAGUCACUCCCCAGGACGCAGUUAUCGCGCGCAAAGCAGCUGGGGGACCCCGCAAGGAAACUCAGGCACAAUGGAGCCCGCUUCUUUUUCUGUCAACUCUGAAUGCUAUGUCUGGUUUGGUCCUGGCUGCUAGUUCGAAGCUGGAACAUCCUCCAGAGCUGGGGCCCAUUUCCUUUUAUUUGCCUUGGGCCCCAAAUGAAAAGCAUCUAUCCGCAUGCCUAAUAAAAAUUUUCUUAAAUCGGGCCACGCAGGCUUUUUCCCAGGUUCUGCGCCCUGACCCCAUUCCCUCUGCUCAUGCUUUUGGCAUUGUAUUGGAGUGUGUUGACUUGACCAAGCUCCCAAACAACCUCCCUGCUCCACCUCAGCUUGGUCUGCCCAGAGGCUCGUACCCCAACCAUCACCCCCCAGCCACCAGAUCGGUGGCAGUAUGUUGUUGGGUCUUGUUGACAUUUUAGAGAGAAAAGCGCCAGAGGUGAAGUUUUCUCGGGUUUUAUAUCUCAAAGCGAUUUGUUCUUGGGAACAGAAUUCUGUCUGAAGUAUUAAUAAUUCGGCUCUAGGUGUCCAGCCCCGUUCAUAUUCAUGAUGUGAAACGGGCAACCAUGCACCUAUCCCUGCAGAACCCACUCCGGGUACAAAUCCGGUAACCUUUCAAGACGCGUGUCAAGGGAAGCUGGAGACCUGGCUUUCCCAGUGGGGGUUCAGCUCCCGGGAGGGGGGAGAGGAGCCCGAGGCCCGCGCCGUCUCGUUUCCUGGUAGGAGAAGGUGCAGGCGGAGGCGGGGCCUCCCGUGAUACAGGUGGCAGCUCUCGUCCCCUGAGAGCGGGCGAAGGCCAGGGUCCCACACUCGCAGCGCUGCGACGGCGCUCGGGACCUCCCUCGUCCACUGCUUGAGUUCCAGAGCGCCAGAGACCCAAGUUGAGGAACAGCCUAUAAAAUAACUGGCCUGUACUCUUACAUACAUGAAAGCCAUCAAAGACAAAGACUGAAGAAGAACUUUUGCAGAUUAAAGGACUUUAAGAGACAUGAUCCUGAACCAGAAAAAGUAAAAAAUAAAAAAAUAAAAAGAUCUGUAGAUUAGAUAAUAGUUUUAUAUCCAUGUUAAUUUCCCAUUUGUUGUAAUAUUACUGUGGUUGGGCAAGAGAGUGUCUUUGUUGGUGGAAGUAUCUACUGAAGUAUUUAGGGGUAAAGAGGAAUCAUGUCUGUAACUUAUGCUCAAAAGGUUCAGACAAAAUAUAUGUAAAGGGAAUGAUAAAGCAAACGCAAUAAAAUGUUAACAUUGGGGAAUCUGUAUAAGGGAAUUAUUAACUUUUCUGUAAGUCUAAAAUUAUUUCAAAUUAAAAAUAAUUUUUUUAAGCCUCA